GGGGAACUUGCAUUAGGAAGCAAAAGAAUGAGAUCUGUAAUGGGUCUAUGGAUUUUCCUCUAGGAACAGAUAACUUUGCUCCACAAAGGGUAGCCUGCUGAUGCCAAAACAGAGCUGCUUCACACUGUGUCUGCCAGUAAGAAACUUCUCCUGCUCAUUUGAAUUUCUCUAGGUCUUCAUUGCUGCUGCUGGAAUUGCAAUGGAACAGGCUCCUAUCUUUAAUGCCCUACCCACUUGCACCUGUUCCUCCAGAGCAGGGUGUGAUGGGUGAUGAGCAGAGGAAGCUUCAGUGGGAGAACAGGGAUUUGUGGUCACUAGCAGGAGAAGUUACACAUGGAAUAGAAGAUAGCUUGGUAGCAGUAGAAAACUAGGCAGUGUGGCUAAAUUAUAAUAUUGUUGAAAGCAUUGUAAAGUGACAAAAAAUUGUAAAAUGACUCUUAGAAAGAUGGAACUUUUAGAAAGUUCUUGAAAAGAGAAAAAUAUCUAAAUAUAGAUCAUUUAUGCGGCCUUAAAUUUGCCUCUUGUGUACCUAGUGUCAAUAUUGACAGUGGUCCAAGGGAUCACUUAGGAGAUGUGGGUGGGGUGGGGUGGGGUGGGGUGGGGUGGGGGGAGUAGUGCAAACCCUGCCUCUGGCAGGGAAGUAAAGCCCUCUUCAAAGCUGAUGCCUCAAGAAGCAAGAGAAUGAAUAACUGAGCCCAGGAAGGGGAGUGGAAAAGGAUAAUUGCUGGCAACAGCCUAGCUCUCUCCUUACCCCCUGGUGUGAGUGCUCUCCCUCAGAACCAUGAUCAGAGCCUGUAGGGCUCACACCCCCCCCCCCCCCCCCCCCCCCCCCCCCCCCCCCCCCCCCCCCCCCCCCCCCCCCCCCCCCCCCCCCCCCCCCCGCCCCCAGCUUCCCAGAGACAGUUGCUCAGCUCCCUGUGCGUCCAGCUGCCUCUGGAGAGCAGAAGAGCAGAAGGGGAAACAAAGGAGGAGGAGGACCUGGCUACACUUCUGCAGUUUAAUGUGGAUGAACCAUGACAAUAAGGUCCUGAGUGAUAAAAAUGCGUAUUAA
rnacentral:lncRNA from 1 species